AGUGAACGCUGGCGGUAGGCCUAACACAUGCAAGUCGAACGGCAACACAGUAAGAGCUUGCUCUUACGGGUGGCGAGUGGCGGACGGGUGAGGAAUACAUCGGAAUCUACUUUUUCGUGGGGGAUAACGUAGGGAAACUUACGCUAAUACCGCAUACGACCUACGGGUGAAAGCAGUGGAUCUUCGGACCUUGCGCGAUUGAAUGAGCCGAUGUCGGAUUAGCUAGUUGGCGGGGUAAAGGCCCACCAAGGCGACGAUCCGUAGCUGGUCUGAGAGGAUGAUCAGCCACACUGGAACUGAGACACGGUCCAGACUCCUACGGGAGGCAGCAGUGGGGAAUAUUGGACAAUGGGCGCAAGCCUGAUCCAGCCAUACCGCGUGGGUGAAGAAGGCCUUCGGGUUGUAAAGCCCUUUUGUUGGGAAAGAAAAGCAGCAGGUUAAUACCCCGCUGUUCUGACGGUACCCAAAGAAUAAGCACCGGCUAACUUCGUG
rnacentral:rRNA from 1 species